rnacentral:rRNA from 1 species
UACGUAGCACACGCGCAGCACGCACGGAGUGGAGGCAGACGCCCAACCUCUCUCCUCUACCUCACCGUUUCAUAGAGCGCUCGAAGGGAAAGACAUAAGUUAGAGGUAGCUAGAUGAUAUCGGCGGCGGAGGAGGAGCUAGGUACACCAGCGGGAAACGGCGGCAGUGGCCUCUCCGAGCGGAGGCGCCGGCGUGCGGAAUCUAGGCCGCCCUCCUUUUCCUCCUUCUCGGGGCGUGACAGGACAAGAGGCCGCCGCCGCUGGAUGCGCGCUCGCUACCCUCCGCUCCUCCUCUUUCUCCGCUCCACCACCUCCUCGUCGGCUCCAGCUGCUGCCGCAGGAACCUGCUCGUGUGCGUGCCUUCCCUCCCCCUCCCCACGUCGGCGAGCACGCCUAGCUCCCCUUCCUCUUUCCACGACUACGACGGCCGAUGAACCCCUUCCCCUACGCCCGCUGGAACCCGCUCAAUUCUCUGGACUCCGCUCCGGCCGCCGCUGGAUACCUUCCUUCCCCUGCGGCUGCUGGAACCCUUCCUUCCCCUUCGGCCGCUGGAACCCUUCCUCCCUCUCCGGCCGCUUAACCCCAUCCCCUACGCCCACUGGACCCCUUCCCGCCUACCCUCGACGAGUCCGGCAGCAACGACAGCCGUCGGCCGCCGGUGGCGGGCAGCGAACCUCCUGCUCCCCUUACCUCUUUCUCCUCAGCAUAGCCCUUCCUCAAAACCCGCUACCCUGCUCCCCUUGUCGUCGGCGUGGUCCGCUGUACGGAGCGGAACGGCGAACCACCGGCUCUACUCCGGCGGGGUACGAGACAAGGCUACCCGGAGGAGACGAGCUACCAACGUGACCAACUCAAACCAUGCCAAAGGACAACAGCCGACGCAGCUCGGAACCCAGAACAGAGAGGAAGUGUAACUCGGAAGAAGAGGACAGCGGUCGCGAAGAAGAAGAGCAGACAGGACGACGAUUGGGUUGCACGAAGACGAACGACGGAGCCCAACAUGCUAGAGAAGACAACGACGCAGCAAGCUGAGUAUUCCUGUUGCCACUCUUCCCCGAGAAACUCCGCCGACGUGAGCCAGGGGGGACGUCGGUGCGUGGUGUAGCAGGCCGGCGCAACCACAGCGACGGCGGAGUCUCUGGACCUACUAAGACAACAACCGAAGACGAUAUGGACUUCACACUUCAGUAGGGCCUCAAUAAGGGUUUACCGCCGCCCUCCUCUUCCCUCGACGUUCACAGGCUCGUCAGCUAACUUGUCGAACUGGGUUUUAGAGGCCGCACCUGUGCGUCCAUACCACUGUGAUCGUUAUAUCGCAACGCCGCCUACCGUGUGUACUGGUUCUCUAAGUCUACAUGUACAUCUUUUGCAGAACUCCCACACUUUAAACGUCUUGACUGCCGAAACGUCAUUCUGAUACCUGCCGACGAUCCAAAACCAUUACAUACACUUAUACACUAGACGACUUAUUUACCAGUCGCGUACAUCAUAUCUAAGUCUCAGAUACGUAAGGACUUACGACGUCGAGUUCAUAUAAGUCAGGAGACAAGACACAAUCCUAACUUGGUACUAACAAAAUUGCCCCACACUAAAAUUAAACUAACGAUCUAAGUAUUUUUACUCCUAUGUGGGGACCUCGUAUUCAUUUGUAAUCUUAGAUUGUCGUGUCGAACUAGUACGAGCUUAUCCGUGUAAUCCUAACCUUUCCACUUUUUACGAUCUUGUCCUUCGUUUUGUCUCUGUAUCGAGUCUCCCUUUUGUUCAAACCACGUUACGACGGUAUUCCGCCGGUCAAGGCUACAAUCUUAGCUUGUUGUGUCGAACUAGUACGAGCUUAUCCGCGUAAUACACGAUGAACUCACAUCGUCAAAAUUUAUAAAACCUCUUGAUGUUAAUAAAUGUGCACACUGUAACUGACGUCCCACUCCUGUCCACGGCGGCUUCUAUUAAGCUCCAAAGAGCCUUUUAGGUCCCCUGUUACAGUAUCACACAUUGUCAAAAUUUAUAAAAACCUCUUGAUGUUAAUAAAUGUGCACACUGUAACUGACGUCCCACUCCUGUCCACGACGGCUUCUAUUAAGCUCCAAAGAGCCUUUUAGGUCCCCUGUUACAGUAUCAUGACUGUAACCCCUGCUCAAAACUAUGAAGCCCUCUUCGGAUACUGAAAAUGUUGGACACGAAAACCCUAUUCGCUAAGCCGUAAUCAUCCUUCUGACUUUCUGUCAAUUACCCUUUUAAUCACCACACUAACUUAUUCAUCAAAGUACCAAGACUACAGACUACAUACUAAUCUCGUAAAAGAGAAUACCACAUGACUUAAUAAUUUCUAACACACACUUAACAAUUCUACGUUAAAAAGAUACAUACACACCUAGGUGCACGCCAGGUCUGACAUGAUGACAUCAUCAAAUAUGAAAGACUUACGUUGUAUCGU